rnacentral:tRNA from 2 species
CGGGUAGCUCAGUUGGAUAGAGCGUUGGCCUCCGAAGCCAAAGGCCGCGGGUUCGACUCCCGCCUCGC